AUGACAAGUCAGUUUGUGGUUUAGACACAACCAAAAACUUGGGUGGCAUAUCUCGUAUAUUCCCCGCACGCACGCACUUAAAUCUCCCUAUCAACACCGCCGCUUUUGGGAUUCGUUGAUCGAUUUUCCCAUCGUCUCCAUUAGGGCUGUCAAAAAAAUCCGAAAAAUUCGAUAUCCGUCCGAAAAAUCCGCAUUCGUAUCCGAGAUAAAGCGGAUAUUAUCCGUAUCCGAGACAAAGCGGAUAUUAUCCGCAUCCGAAUCCGACAAUUCCGGAUACGGAUACGGAUAUAGGCAUAUUCGUAUCCGAUAAUAUCCGCAUCCGAAAUUAAAUAUAUAUGAUAUUAAAUAUUAUAUAUUAUUAAUAUUAUUCAAUAACUAUAUAAUGUGUGUAUUUAUAUAUGUAUACAUAAAAUAAUAUAUUUAUAUAAAUUUUGUAUAAUUUUAAAAUAUUAUAGACAUAUAUCAUAAUUUUAUUUGAGUUUAAUAUUUUAAAGACAACAAAUUUAUAUUGAAAGAUUAAUAAGAAUUAAAUUUUGAAUUAAUAUAAACCUUCUUUAAUGAUUUUAAAUUUUUUACUCAGGUUUAAAAAAUUAUUUUUUUAUUUUUACUAUUUUUUAUGAUUUUUUAGAAAUUUUAAUAGAAAAAUAAAAAUUCUGAUUAAAAAUCAGAUUCGGAUCCGGAUAUUAUCCGAAUCCGGAUAGUAUCCGUCGGAUCCGGAUUCGGAUACCAUCCUUUAAAAAAUUUCGGAUUCGGAUACGGAUACGGAUAUGGAUUUUCGGAUUCGGAUCCGGAUCCGGAUACAGGCAGAUCCGUAUCCGAAUUAUCCGUUUGACACCCCUAGUCUCCAUCAUCCGAUCAGCCAUCAUAUUAUAGUCUGAAGCCUGUCCGGUGAGUCUGUUCCUCUUUUUAUCUGCUCCUAUUGCACUACAAAUGUAAAUUAUUUUUUAUUAUUAUUUACGAUCUCUUCUUCUUUUUAUCUUUUUAGAGAGAUUAAUCUCAUUGAUUUUGGUUCACUUCAGUGUCAAGACUUGUUUUUGUGUCAGAUCUUGGACAUCUUUUGAUUUUGCAUUUUGUUUUUGCGGUUUUGAUAAUCUUAGGUAAUAGAUUGUGUGUUAGUUCAUUAUAGUUCUUGAUUUUUGGCUAUGUAUGUAUUUCAAACUGCACCUUGUUUGGGUAUGGAAUGAUUGUUCUUGGCAAUUUUGAUGUGUUUGUUUAGUUUCUUGCAAGGUUGUAAAAAUCGGAAAUCGGGUUGACUCGGUUUUGGUCUUGGAAAAAAGAGUACUCGGAACUCGGAGAGUACUCGGAAUGAGUACUCGGAUAACUAAUCGGAUAUCAAUUUUUAUAUAUUUUUCUUGUAUUUUAAAUUUAUAUUAUUAUAUUAGUAAUAACCUAAUGAUAAUAAUUUAAUAAUUUAAAUCAAAACUCCAAAAAUUCAAAACAAAUAAUAAUUGGCAAAGAUUAAUUUACCGGUCAUUGGCUCAUUGAGUCAUUGUACAUACAAAUAAUAAAAGAUUACUACUAGUUCUACAGUUCUGCAAAAUACAAAUACAUUACCACUGAUCAACAUAAUCUUCUUCUUCCUCAAUUAUAACAUCAUCAUCGUUAUCUUCAUCGUCAGACUCAAAAUCUUCUUCGUGAAGUUCUCUAAACGCCUUUCUAGUAGCCGUAGGUAAUGUGCUUCCCUCUUCAGCUGUUACAGUGGAGUCAUCAGAUAACUCAUCAUCAUCUGCACCUUCCACGAUCCAUCCCUGAGCUUUACUCGCAUCACUGGCCACUAGCAUGUCAAAUUUAUCCUUCAUCUUUGAUUUUUUAUUUGCAAGUUUUGCAUUAAAUUGAACAUAGACCAGAUUGUUCAAUCUCUCAGCAUCUAACCUGUUUCUCUUUUUUGUGUGAAACUGCAGAUUAUGAUAGGUGUGAAUUUAGCCAAAUAAAAAUACCCAUUAUUUGAUAUUGAUGUGCAAGUACAAGAUAAUUAUAUACUUACUCCCUCAAAAGCACUCCAAUUCCUUUCACAUCCUGAUGAGCUUGAUGUUAAAGAAACUAUUUUUAAUGCCAUCUUCUGUAAGUUUGGCGUCUCAGAUCCGUAAUUAGUCCACCAAGCAACUAAUAAAAAUUUAAAAGAAAAUACAAUAGUUAAUUAUGUAAACUAACAAGAAUAAUAUAGACAUGACUAUAAAGCACAGAAUAGAUACCUAUAUCAAAUUUAUCAGCAUCUUUAGAUCUGGCCAUGACUGCCAGCCAACAUCAACAACUUUACCACUAAUCCGAGCAAUAUGCUGUUUCAAUCGAUUAAUACCACCAUAAACUUCUCUACCACACAAAUUGCAUCGGACUUUGUUAGUUUUACCAGUGACUACUGUUCCAAAUUGCCAGCCAACAUCAACAACUUUACCACUAGAAUUUGUUGCAGGUAUUGUUUCUACCGACUCUGAAUUAGAUGCAGCCGAAGAACUACAAUUUGUUGGUGUUUCCAUCCUAUAUCCAAAUCACUAGUUAAGAAAUUCACUAUCAAAUCAAUAGAAUAAAAACAUAACAACUAAAAUCGAAUGAAUAAAAUCCAACACAAAUACUCUUGUACUCUUAGGAGAAUCGGAGAUUAACUAAUUGACGGAUUAACAUAUAUAAGCACUCAAGCAGCAAGGGAUUCAAAAAUAUUCGAAUUAGAUGAAAUUAGUUAGGGAUUCAGAGCGAUACGAAUCAAUUAGGGAAUUAGAUGAGAUGAAGAGAAGAUAUUAAAUCACAUACCUUUUGUGUUUCGCGUUUAAGAUCUUUGAUUCUCUGAGAGUUUGAGAGACUUGGAGCGCGCUUAAGGAUCUGAGUUUUGAGUUUAGAAGGCUAGGGUUUUGUUUUUAAUUUGGGCCGGGCUUGAAACGGUCAAACUCGGAGUCUGACUGAGUACUCGGAGUCAACCCGAGUUUUGACUGAUUUUUCAGAAAAUCGGUUUUACCUCCGAUUACUCGGAACUCGGAUCGGUUAGGGGGGUCAAAACGAGUACUCGGCCGAGUACUCGGCCGAGUCAACCGAUUUUUAGAACACUGGUUUCUUGGAUUUAGUUAUGUUAAAUCUGUUUUAGACUCCCGAAUAAAAUCACUCAUCCAGCUCUCGACGCAGUCAUGAAUCUGCUCAUGCUUAUUCUUGGUAUACUCUUUUCUCAAUUUUGAUCGAAGCGGUCCUGUACGAGAGAGAUAGCAUAGCGGUGGUGGCCGAGGAUGGCGGCGAUAGAGGCUCCGGGAUCAGUACGGGAUCCGAUUUCAAAAAGGAAGGCAUUAAUUGUGCCUUAAUUGAGGACGUUUUAUUGUGCCUCUUAAUGAGGGCCUUAAUUGUGCCAUUGAGGGCGUAAAUUGUGCCUCCUAAUUGAUGGCGUUAAUUGAGCCUUAAUUAAGGGUGUUAAUUGUGUCUUAAUUAAGGACGUUAAUAUUUUAUUAAUUGUGCCUUAAUUGAGAGUUUAAUUGUCUCAAUUAUGAGUUAUCAUGAUUGUGGAAAUAUUUGAUAUAAUCUGUUUUAUAUAUUGACUUAUAUUUUUCUUGUUUUCCUUGUUCUAUUUUCAGGAUUCUUGGAAGAAGACCGGUUUUCUUUUCGGACAUUAAAGUUUUAUUGUCUAAAUUUCCCCGGUCAUCUUGCAUGUCCGACGGUUAGAUAAUAAGCUUUCUUGAAUGAAAAAAUUAUCACGGUAAAUUGCCGAG
rnacentral:lncRNA from 1 species